UACGUAGGGUGCGAGCGUUGUCCGGAAUUACUGGGCGUAAAGAGCUCGUAGGUGGUUUGUCACGUCGUCUGUGAAAUUCCGGGGCUUAACCUCGGGCGUGCAGGCGAUACGGGCAAUACUUGAGUGCUGUAGGGGAGACUGGAAUUCCUCGUGUAGCGGUGAAAUGCGCAGAUAUCAGGAGGAACACCAAUGGCGAAGGCAGGUCUCUGGGCAGUUACUGACGCUGAGGAGCGAAAGCAUGGGUAGCGAACAGGAUUAGAUA
rnacentral:rRNA from 1 species